CACAGAAUGUCGAAGUCAUUAGGAUUCAGAUCCAGCCGGCUGAUGAGAUUCCAAAGUUGGAGCUACUCAGCACAAUCGUAAAGGCUUCAGGAGUUUUCAUGGUCUCGGGAUUUCUUUUGCUUUUGUUGUUCUUUGAUUGGAGUGCGCUGUCCCGGAGGACUUGCGUUGUCCCGGAGGACUUGAACUGGGGCCUGAAGUGGUGUGCCGGCAGGUCUGGUUACAAAGAAUCCCACAGGCUACAAAGGCAGAGCUGGUACAGGACAGGGCUUGCAGGAACCACACUACAUACUGACAGCCUUGUGGACUCUGAGGCUGCCCUGGGAUCCAUCACUCACCCUGAGAGAUGCUGAGGCCUUGGAGACUGUGCAGGAAGAAGAACUUUGCCGGUCUUGGACUUCCUGUCUGCUUUGCCCACUGCUAAUCAAUGUGUGCCUAGAGUACUACCUGGCACACAGUAUGUGUUCAAUAAAUAUUUGCUACACGGAU